rnacentral:rRNA from 1 species
AUGAUCAUCAAUUGGGACGACCCUGAGUAUAUUGCCUUUGAGAAGGCACUUCUUAGUGAGCAGUUUCUUUUUCUUAUGUCUGAUCUUGGCCAUCUUCCAUACUUUCUUGGGAUAGAGGUCUCUUCUACCACUAAUGGCUUUACUCCCUCCGUCCGGAAAUACUUGUCGGAGAAAUUUCAGGUAGUAUUUCCCAAGACAAAUAUAUCCAGAAUCUUCUUGCUCGUGCUACUCUUAUUGAUGAGUGUACUAUUGAGACUCCCAUGGAGCUCAAUGUUCACCUUCGUGCUACUGAUGGUGACCGUGUCUGAUCUGACAUGUCAUCGUCAUCUUGAUGGGAGUCUUGUCUAUCUAGAUGUCACUCGUCCAGGUAUCUCUGAUCAUGUCCAUAUUUUCAGUCAGUUUGUCUCUGCGCCCACAUUGGUUCACUAUAGUCACCUCCUUUGUGUUCUCCGAUAUCUUCGUGGCAUGAUCUCUCAUUGUCUAUUCUUUCCCUGCUCCAGUUCAUUACAGCGUCAGGCCUACUCAAAUGCUACGUGGGCUAGUGAUCCCUAG